UAUCUAUAGCCUUGCUUUUAGUACUACGUUUUAGUCUUCACAACGUAUUCUUAAUUAACUUAAGAGUGUCAAUCAACCAGUAUAAUGGCCCUUAGAUUUGUCCUGCUCUGUGCGGGGUUGUCAUUGGUCCUGGCUGUUCCUCAUGAUCACAGACAAAAACGAUUCCUAACGGACACAGGGGUUACUGGAAACUGCUUGGUUGGUCACCAAAACUGCCACCACUGCGGGACUUAUACAAUGAUAUCAGGAGAAUACCUCUGCUGCGCAGAAUGUGACGACAGUAUCAUGACGUCACCGUCUGGUACAGGGGGUAUUCAUUGUCAGUGUAUUAGUAACUCUCCGCCUACUGACUUCUCCCCUGAACACUGAGAAAUGGCUGGGUUUUAAUUUUUUUAUUUGGAUAAAAGAAAAUGUAAUAAAAAGCAUGAAAUAUUGAG